CAAUGGCUCUAAAUAGCCAGAAAACGGCACUUUCAAUUUUUCCAUCCUACAAGAUCUAGAUAAUUCUUGUCGUAAAAUGGGCAAAUGGUCUGAGGUGCCUAACGUCCAGGCAUUCUUUUACAUAUCAGUCCCUCCCCUCUGUUCCCAAUGCAACUCAUCCCAAAUCUUCCUUCUUUCCCUUCCGCCUGUCCCCUCAGUCCCAACCCCAAGCAUUGCUGGGUCUUUCUAAUCUUCCUUUUCUACAGACCCAUCUGACCUCUCCCCUCCUCGCCAGGCCGAGCUAGGUCCCAAUUCUUCCUCAGCCUCGGCUCCUCCACCCUAUAAUCCUUUUAUCACCUCCCCUCCUCACACCCAGUCCAGCUUACAGUUUCAUUCCGCAACUAGCCGUCUCCCACCUGCCCAGCAAUUUCCUCUUAAAAAGGUGGCUGGAGCUAAAGGCAUAGUCAAGGUUGAUGCUCCUUUUUCUUUAUCCGACCUCUCCCAAAUCAGUUAGCGUUUAGGCUCUUUCAUCAAAUAUAAAAACCCAGCCCAGCUCACGGCUCAUUUGGCAGCAGCCCUGAGACGCUUUACAGCCCUAGACCCUGAAAGGUCAAAAGGCCGUCUUAUUCUCAAUAUACAUUUUAUUUUUUACCCAAUCUGCUCCCGACAUUAAAUAAAUCUCCAAAAAUUAAAUUCCAGCCCUCAAACCCCACAACAGGACUUAAUUAACCUCACCUUCAAGGUGAACAAUAAUAGAGUAGCAGCAGCCAAGUAGCAACAUAUUUCUGUGUUGCAAUUCCUUGCCUCCACUGUGAGCCAAACCCCAGCCACAUCUCCAGCACACAAGAACUUCCAAACGCCUGACGGCAGCUGCAAGGCGUUCCUCCAGAACCUCCUCCCACAAGAGCUUGCUACAAGUGCAAGAAAUCUGGCCACUGGGUCAAGGAAUGCCCACAGCCCAGGAUUCCUCCCAAGCUGUGUCCCAUCUGUGCCACUGAAAAUCGGACUGUUCAACUCACCUAGCAGCCACUCCCAGAGGCCCUGGAACUCUGGCCCAAGGCUCUCUGACUCCUUCCCAGAUCUUCUCGGCUUAGCAGCUGAAGACUGAGACUGCCCGAUUGCCUCGAAAGCCUACAGGACCAUCACAGACUCUCUGGGUAACUCACAGUGGAAGGUCUGGAGAAAUACAAUGAUCCUGAAGAAAACCUGAGCUUAUGUGAAGCAACUUUGUUUUCCUUUGACAAACUCCCAUUUCCAACACCAGAAUCCAACUGCAAGGAAAUGAAGCAUAAACAGCUGAAUUUAGAAAUCUUCUAAUUCUGAUUUUUUUAUUUUUGUUUUUGAGACAAAGUCUUGUCCUGUGGCCCAGGCUGGAGUGCAAUAGUGUGAUUAUAGCUCACUGCAGCCUCGAACUCCUGGUCUCAAGUGAUCCUCCCACCUCAGCCUCCCAAGUAGCUGGGACUACAGGCAAGAGUCACCAUGCCUAGCUACUUUUUUUUAUUUUUGUAAAGAUGGAAUCUUGCUAUGUUGCCCAGGCUGGUCUCCAACUCCUGGCCUAAACAAUCCUCCCACCUUAGCUUCCCAAAGUGCUGGAAUUAUAGACAUAAGCCACCAUUCCCAGCCUAAUUCAUAUUUUUAAGCAGGAAGCAUAGUCUACCUUAUAACUCCUAUGCUCUUCUUCCAAAACCUUUACCCUGUAGUUUAUGAACUGCGAUGAAGGACCAAGUAUAUCUCCAUUCUAACAGCACAUUAUAAUGUCCACACAAUAUAUAAAUAAAAGAAAAGCAGGCCGGUCACGGUGGCUCACACCUGUAAUUCCAGCACUUUCAGAAGCCAAAGUGGGUGGAUCACUUGAGGCCAGGAGUUGAAGACCAGCCUGGCCAAAAUGGUGAAACCCCGUCUCUACUAAAAAUAUAAAAAUUAGCCAAGUGAUGGUGGCACAUGCCUGUAAUUCCAGCUACUUGGGAGGCUGAGGCAGGAGAAUCACUUGAACCUGGGAGGCAGAGGUUGCAGUGAGCCAAGAUCAUGCCACUGCACUCCAGCCUGGACAACAGAGCGAGACUCCAUCUCAAAAAAAAUAAAAAGAAAAAAAGAAAGGCAAUGUGGUACCAUGCCUUAGGAUCGUACAUACGUCACCCAACUCGCUUACCUACUGUAAUGGACGUUUGUUGCUCUUGCUUGUACGGCACUCUUUUUCUAGAUCUUCCUUUGGACAACCGCCUCCUCCCUGCCUUCAUUCCUGUGGUUUGGUGAAGCUGACACUUCUCCCAGCUAUAGGGAGGGGCGUGAGCCACAGGCCAAAGUCAAUCAGUGCAUUCCAUCCACCAGCCCAGAGACUGAAUCAGCAAAGGUCCCAGAGCUCCACUUGGGCCAAUGGCAGUCAGGCCAAGGACUUUGUGGAACUGUUGCUCAGAGGACAGCCCCUUGGAACACAGCAGUAGCUUUACACAAUGCUAUCUGCCCCUUGCAACAAAGCAGUAAUUUCACUACUUGAGGGAUGGAAAAGAUGUACCAUAAAAGACACAGAGGCGAUAGACAAAAGGGAAGUAAGAUUCAGGUCUUGCACAGAAACUGAGCCUUGAUUUUCCGCAGAAUAUACUGUGACCAAGCCUCCUGCAGGGCUGCCUGUACGUUAAAGAAAUGGAAGCGUCUUGAAUCGUGUCCAUCGUCCCUCCUUUACACAAAGUAAUCACCUCCAGCUGGGCCAAGUUGAUUGAGGAAACGUUCAGUUUUCACAUGAUUUUGCUGUAGCACCAUAAUGAAUGUAUUUCUUUGAUGGAAGAAAGAAGCUUCAUGAAAUAAACUGCUUAAGGAUUUGAAGUUGGAGCUGAAAACAUGGGCUGCUUUGUUCUUAAUGACAACUGCUUUGCCAUCUAAAACAUUUCUCCUUUUUGAAGGAUCUGUCUUUUCUCUUCCAGCCACAACCCUCGAGCUACAAUAACAGGCUCAUGAUUUUUUUAGAUGCCAAGGUUAUGAAUACUCUUUUAUGAAUAUUUUCCUUUGAACUCAUUUCUCUUGAAGAAGAAAAAUAGCCCUACAUAUUGCAGGAUUGACAAUAACAGACAAAACGUACAAAUUGUUCUCUUAGGGGCAGUAAAAUGCUCCAAAAUGCACAUAGAAAAAUUCCAAAUGCAACCUGAUGUUUAUGGAGCACUGCCUUUGCAGCUAUAAUUUUUAGAAAGUAAUAUUUCUGACUGACAUGAAUUAUACAGAGCAUAUUUCAGAGACUAAUAUCAGGUUAAUGCCUUAAAAUGUCUCCGUUUAUGACAUCAUGGCUGCUUUUCCUAUAUCAGUGCAAACUCUUAGUGAGUAGAAUUUGAGGAUAUGUCUUUUCAAAGGAAGAAAACCUUCACUGAAUUAAGCUGCUUAUGGUUUUAUUUUUUCUUUUAUCCCAUUUCAACAUAUCCACCAACCUCCUCUAAAAAUAAUUCAACUAAUGUGAACUCAACAGAUUAUAGUAGAUCUCUUAUUAAUUUCAUUUUGCCUCCAAAGGAGCUUAUCAUUUAGGCUUAUAAUUAUGUAUGCAGUACUGUCGACUAAUGUUUAGGUUCCUCAUUAAAACUUCAUUUCAUUCUGUUUUAAUAUCAUCAGUCUGUUAGACCAUUUAUUUUCUCAUGUUAAAAAAUAUGUGUUUUCCCUGAACUCUUUCCAUAUGUUUUCUCUCAUCCAAAAAAUCCAGAAAACUCAGCUCCCUUUAAUCCUGCUUUGUGGCUUAGAUACUUUAGCCUGGAACCACUCGUGUUGAUUUGUAUAUACCCACACUUACGCAAAAAUAGCCUUCACUACGGCAGAGUAAUCAUUCUGCAUAGAAAUUAUGUGUCUCUGAAGCCUAUGUUGUCAGGUGAAUCGUGGCAGCAAUGACCUAAGAAUGCAUCCCCAGUUUGAAAUGACCUAUAAAAAUUUCAAGAUACAACUAUUGCUUUGCAUUUGGCAUCGGGAAUAUUCUGUAUAGUUCUUUUCAUGUAAAUGGGCAAUAUUCUAGAAUGGUUCCCAAGUAUAAGCUUUAGAGCUAGACUUCUUGGGUACAACUCCCACUAUUACCACUUACUAGUUAUGUAAUAUUGGAAAAUACACUUAACUACUCUGAGCAUCAUAAAGUAAGCUUACUAACA
rnacentral:lncRNA from 1 species